GAUGAACGCUAGCGGCAGGCCUAACACAUGCAAGUCGAGGGAUAAGCCUUCGGGCUAAGACCGGCGCACGGGUGCGUAACGCGUAUACAAUCUGCCUUUUAUCCGGGGGAUAGCCCGAAGAAAUUUGGAUUAAUACCCUAUGGUAUAAGAGCACGGCAUCGUGCACUUAUUAAAGCUACGGCGGUAAAAGAUGAGUAUGCGUUCUAUUAGCUAGUUGGAGAGGUAACGGCUCCCCAAGGCGACGAUAGAUAGGGGUUCUGAGAGGGAUGUCCCCCACACUGGUACUGAGAUACGGACCAGACUCCUACGGGAGGCAGCAGUGAGGAAUAUUGGACAAUGGUCGGAAGACUGAUCCAGCCAUGCCGCGUGCAGGAUGACGGCCUUAUGGGUUGUAAACUGCUUUUGUAAGGGAAGAAUAAGGAGUACGUGUACUUUGAUGACGGUACCUUACGAAUAAGCAUCGGCUAACUCCGUGC
rnacentral:rRNA from 1 species